GAUGAACGCUCGCGGCAGGCCUAACACAUGCAAGUCGAGGGGGAAGUUACUUUCGGGUGACUGAGACCGGCGUACGGGUGCGUAACGCGUAUACAAUCUGCCUUUCACUGGGGGAUAGCCCGAAGAAAUUUGGAUUAAUACCCCAUAGUAUAUAGGGACGGCAUCGUUUUUAUAUUAAAGCUUAGGUGGUGAAAGAUGAGUAUGCGUUCUAUUAGCUAGUUGGAGAGGUAACGGCUCCCCAAGGCGAUGAUAGAUAGGGGUUCUGAGAGGGAUGUCCCCCACACUGGUACUGAGAUACGGACCAGACUCCUACGGGAGGCAGCAGUGAGGAAUAUUGGACAAUGGUCGGAAGACUGAUCCAGCCAUGCCGCGUGCAGGAUGAAGGUCUUAUGGAUUGUAAACUGCUUUUGUAAGGGAAGAAUAAGGGCUACGCGUAGUUUGAUGACGGUGCCUUACGAAUAAGCAUCGGCUAACUCCGUG
rnacentral:rRNA from 1 species